rnacentral:pre_miRNA from 1 species
GGGGGGAGGCUGGAUCCUGGUCUGUGUCCCGGCGCCCUAUGCUCCCGGCCUGUGCUGUUGGAUUCGCGCUCCCGGCAGCACAGCCCCCU